AUAAUGGAAUGAUUUCCUUGCCAUUGACAUAACACCCCAGAGAUCGAUAUUCUUUUUCUUGCCUAAGAUAAGUUGCUUCGGAUUCUUGCUUGAGGUCAUUUACACAUUUCAUGUUCACUGAUGAUUGAUCACAAACAGUAGCGAUCAGGUUUAAACCAAUAUCUUGAGCGUACCUUAUACUAUCUAAAACUUUGUUUUUCAACGUUACACUGUCCUUACUGCUCUCUACAAAAUAAUAAGACGUUGGCUGCUUCCAUUUCUUGCACACGCCACGCAGCAUGAAUGUGGUACAAUGGUCAGCAAAUUUUGGCUCCCUUCUGUCGCCAACAUCGACAAAGCCUAUUGUUUUAUCUCUCCUCUUAUCAUAGAACAAAUUCGGCUUGAUACUUAUUUCAUCAAAUAUCAAAGUACAAAGCUUGUUACGGUCAUGCAUCUUCUCAACACUGUGAGAAAGUACUUUACGAAUGCCUUCAUUGAGUCCUGGUUCAAAUGGAACUUUUCUCAGCACACAGUAUUCUAAUUCUCACAUUUCAAAAAGUGUUGGUAUUCCAUAAAUAAAUCAAAAACUAAGCGUCAUAGAAAAAUUGAAUGGCAAUGAGUCAAUUGGAAAUUCAAUUCUCUACAAUUCGCCCCCAUGUAAUUUUUUUGUAGAAUGCUUCGUUCCUCCUCCAGUAUGAUUUUUAUGAAACUCGGUUAGCAAAUUAUUGAAACAAAUGUUUUGAAAAAUUGGCAAACUCAGUUUCAUCAAAAUCAAUCUGGAGGAGGAACAAAGCAUUCUAUGGAAAAAUGAUAUUGAGGAGAAUUGCGGAGAAUUAAAUUUCCAAUGUACAUAAUGUCGUCAGUGUUUUUAUCUAGGACACUUAAUUUUCAAUGUAUUUAAAAAAUAUUACAGCUUUUCAAAAUGUAAACAUCAGCAUACUGACUUUCAGCCUCUAUGUGUUUUCAAAACAUAAAAAUGGACCAAAAAAAAAACAUUUCAAACAAAUACAUUUCACAAAAAAAUACAUUUCAAAAAAAAAAUACAUUUCACAAAAAAAUAAAAAACUUAAAAAAUAAGGACACAGCCAAAAAAUUACAUUACAGGUACAAAAGUUUGUAUGUAAUAAAUAAGCUAAUGUAAAACCAUCGUCUUACAUUAGCUUAGAUAUUACAUACGGAUUGCAAGCAAUCAAAGAUAAUUAGCUACGAGUAUGAAGAUCGUAGCUCUUUAAGCAAUCUACAAUCUUCAUACUCAUAGCUUCACAAUACAGGAACUUAAAAUUAAAAUGCGACCAACCGAUCGUUUAUCUUCUUAAAAAAAAAUAAAAAAAAACAUUACUAAAAUGAUCAGUCGAUCGCAAGGAACAAAACAAAAACUCCUUUAAAAAAACCUAUAUUCCUGGUCACGAUGACGAUGACGGCGAGGAGGCGACUCGUCCGACAAUUCCCCCUCAUCAUCCGCAUCGAUAUCCAGAGGUCUGAGGGGGAGUCGCCUCUGAUGAGCGACGUCUAACGAAUCCAUCCUGUAAAAACAAAAAGAAACAAAACUGAAAUGUCUGAUUUAAAAAAAAAAAAAUAAAUAAAUUUAAUUAAAUGAUUGAUUGAUUAUUGAAUGAAUAAAUGAAUAAAAAAUUGAACUUACAUCACCGGAGGCUCGUUGUUUUCGUUUUCAUUUCUUUGCCUGAGUCAUACCCCGAAUCGUUGCUUACACUUGAACUGUAAAAAAAUAUAUAUGUACCAAAUCAUUAGGUACCUAUAAAUAGUACAUAAUAUAUUAUGUUAUUUCGAAAAAGCUAUGUAUUUGUAAACUUACUCGAUGACAAUAAUGUUGUUUUCGUCAUCCAUUAUCUCUACUUGGUUCUGGUUAGCCAUAUUAAAUAAAAACGACUUAAAACAGUACAAAAUUAUAAAAUAGAAACGCAUACGCAAAAUUUAAAUCACGUUGAGGAAAUAUUUUCACCAAUGCCUUCGUUGUUUUAUAAUGCUUCUGCAGGUGGUUGUUCUUGGUUUUCGACGGGGUUUGCAGGAAGCUGUAACACUUCGGCGUUUUGUACUUGUGCAACCAUAGCGAUCUGGAGCAACGGAUUAGGAGGCUGUUGCGGCGGUGGCGACAGGCUAUUGAUGUAAUCCUCAGAGGUCCUCAUCACCCGCAGCAUCGCGACGACGACAUUGUAGUCCAACCAUUGGAACUCGUACUGCUCUUCCGCGACUGUAUACGUGUAUAAUUCCCAGAUCUGCGUCGUUGGGUUGCGCUGUCCAAUUGCUAAAACAUGGACUAGACAUGGAAGGAAACGAGAUUCAUAUCAUAAUGUGUUCCAAAGAGAAAGUGUCACCUGCAUAAUUGACGCCGAAUAAAAAGAAUAAAAACUGGAUUAGUAACCCCGAAAAUCGUGUUCUCUGUUCUGGUUCCGAAAAUCACGAAGAUGUGGAAAUGACGUUGAUGUUCGAUUACCCAGCUUUUUUCAAGGCGAUGGAAAUAUCAGUAGAAUAUGAAAAAUAUCGGGCGAUUGUUUUGCAUCUAGUUGACUGGAAGAUGUUUCAGAAACGGUUGAAGGAUUCGUUGGGAAUUAUCUCGAGACGGUUAUGAAAUUCAAAGCUGAGUUGUUAAUGGGUCGUCGUUGACAGCAGUAGCAGUUACGGUGUUCCUGGUUCCAGUAGCCGGUGGCCAAUGCAG